AGAGUGAACGCUGGCGGCAGGCCUAACACAUGCAAGUCGAGCGGCAGCGCAGCAGUAGCAAUACUGUGGGCGGCGAGCGGCGGACGGGUGAGGAACACAUCGGAAUCUACCCUGUCGUGGGGGACAACGUAGGGAAACUUACGCUAAUACCGCAUACGACCUUUGGGUGAAAGUGGGGGACUCGCAAGAGCCUCACGCGAUUGGAUGAGCCGAUGUCCGAUUAGCUAGUUGGCGGGGUAAUGGCCCACCAAGGCGACGAUCGGUAGCUGGUCUGAGAGGACGACCAGCCACACUGGAACUGAGACACGGUCCAGACUCCUACGGGAGGCAGCAGUGGGGAAUUUUCCGCAAUGGAGGCAACUCUGACGGAGCAACGCCGCGUGCAGGAGGAAGGUUUUCGGAUCGUAAACUGCUUUUCUCGGGGACGAGCAAGGACGGUACCCGAGGAAGAAGCCCCGGCUAACUACGCGCCAGCAGCCGCGGU
rnacentral:rRNA from 1 species